GACGAACGCUGGCGGCGUGCUUAACACAUGCAAGUCGAACGGAAAGGCCCUGCUUUUGUGGGGUGCUCGAGUGGCGAACGGGUGAGUAACACGUGAGUAACCUGCCCUUGACUUUGGGAUAACUUCAGGAAACUGGGGCUAAUACCGGAUAGGAGCUCCUGCUGCAUGGUGGGGGUUGGAAAGUUUCGGCGGUUGGGGAUGGACUCGCGGCUUAUCAGCUUGUUGGUGGGGUAGUGGCUUACCAAGGCUUUGACGGGUAGCCGGCCUGAGAGGGUGACCGGCCACAUUGGGACUGAGAUACGGCCCAGACUCCUACGGGAGGCAGCAGUGUGGAAUAUUGCACAAUGGGCGGAAGCCUGAUGCAGCAACGCCGCGUGCGGGAUGACGGCCUUCGGGUUGUAAACCACUUUCGCCUGUGACGAAGCGUGAGUGACGGUAAUGGGUAAAGAAGCACCGGCUAACUACGUG
rnacentral:rRNA from 1 species